AGGACUCCUGACUCCAGGUCCUGUGUGUUACCUCGAAAUAGCACUGGACUUGGAGUCAGAAGGCCU
ensembl:miRNA microRNA 378a